GACGAACGCUGGCGGCGUGCUUAACACAUGCAAGUCGAGCGGUAAGGCCCUUUCGGGGUACACGAGCGGCGAACGGGUGAGUAACACGUGGGUGACCUGCCCUCAGCUCUGGGAUAAGCCUGGGAAACCGGGUCUAAUACCGGAUAUGACUCCAUGACGCAUGUUGUGGGGUGGAAAGCCUUGUGCGGCUGAGGAUGGGCCCGCGGCCUAUCAGCUUGUUGGUGGGGUGAUGGCCUACCAAGGCGACGACGGGUAGCCGGCCUGAGAGGGCGACCGGCCACACUGGGACUGAGACACGGCCCAGACUCCUACGGGAGGCAGCAGUGGGGAAUCUUGCGCAAUGGGCGAAAGCCUGACGCAGCGACGCCGCGUG
rnacentral:rRNA from 1 species